UUUUUUCAAUCAAACAAACUUUUUUCGCUAAAGCGCGACAAGUAAAUUUUCACAAAUAAAAUCAACCAACACACAAACAUUUUCUACCCAGAACUACGGGGCUUUGAGUUUCCCAUCGCACCAGGGAAUACGUAGGAGCAGGAUUCAACAUCUUGUCGAGCCCACUAAUAAAAAACUAACUUUUUCCCCCUCUUGUAAAUAACUCCGAUGAUUAAUAAAAAGCAAGCAAAUAAAUUAAAACA
rnacentral:lncRNA from 1 species